CAGUAAAUAAACAUUUUUUAAAUAUAAAUCCUGGGUUUAGUGAAUAAUUGAAUAUACCCCUUUUUCUUACAGAACGGUUUACACAGUAUGGCCCUAAAAACCUUAGACAAGCAUGGAAUAAGCUGAGCUGUGUGAACCAUGCAGAAGAUCUAGCUUCCAAACUACUCCAGUGUUUCCCAAAGAACAGAUUGUCAGCACAGGCAGCUCUGAGCCACGAGUACUUCAGUGAUCUGCCCCCACGGCUAUGGGAGUUAACUGAUAUGUCUUCUAUUUUUACUGUACCGAAUGUAAGAUUACAGCCAGAGACUGGAGAAAGCAUGAGAGCCUUUGGAAAAAACAAUAGUUAUGGCAAAAGUGUAUCAAACAGCAAGCAUUGAAGAAUACCUAUGUUCACAACUGAUAAUGCAGAAUGGAAGAUUGUCUUUCCGUGGCAAGGGGGAAGAGUGCCUGUGCUUUAAGAAAUAUACGGUGUGUCUUCGUGAGAACAUGAUUACUGUCACAUUGACCCGAGCAAAGGUGGCAUCCAGUCCAAUCUCCUCUCUCCAACUGUCACCCACGAUGGACACCUAAGGAAUCAUUAAAAGAACAAGGAAGACACACAGGAAUAAUUUCCUGUGGAUAUGAUAUGCAGUACUGGGCUUGCAUAAAGAAGUUGCAUAUUUUGUGUAGGCCAAGACAUAUACGUGGGAAAGUAAGACAGACUUUUGGUCACACUUUUCUGUGGGUUAAAAUCACCUUUCAGUUAAGAGCAAUUGCUUACCAUUUCCUAAGAUAUUUAUUAAUUAAGCCAGCUCUGAAAGGAAGAAGAUGGUAGCUUUAGAAUAGAGAGGAUAUUGAUGAUGUUAAUGAUGGGAAAAAUAGCAUUUAUUAGCUAAGCAGAAACAAGAGACAAUUACCUUACAAUGUGUUUGGAGAGGGGUAAGUGGGAGGGGGCAGUGUUAUAAGUUGAAGUAGAAGGAAAUGAUAAUGUACUGUCAGACCAACAUCUCUACUGAGUCCAAUGUUUUGGGCAGAGUUAGGAAGCCUAUGUGCACUUCUGUGAGCCAAGUUCUCUAGUUUUCCUUAAGGAUCAGGUCUGAAAGGAGUGGGAGAAUAUCUGUUUUGUGAGAAAGACUCCCUCACAAACAGCACAGUGGUUUGUUUGGUGUAUGGAGAUGGCCUCCAGUAGUUCAUGCCGGUCAUUUUCAGCAGCAGAACUACAAGGAAUGCAGCUGUGCACUGGAUGAAGUACAGCCCUGGAACAUCAGUGUAAGACCAGGGUGUGCUGGUGAUUUGAUGGCAGGGGGUGUUCACUGCUGUAGUAGUGGAUGGGCAUCAAAACACAUCUUGCACCUCUUGCUCAGGCACGGUUUAAACUGAUGUGGUGUUUUGGGCCACAAAGGAUUAUGCUUUAAUGAUGAGUUUUGUGGUUUGGGGUGUUUGAAAUGUAGGACAAGUGCUUCUGGGAAGAUUCUUUCCACACAGGAUUUUCUUCUGUUAUGUGAAAAAUCACUACACAGUUAAAAUGAGCAAGUCCUAGAAACUUUUCUGAACUUACCAGCUCUCGACCCUUGUUCUUCUUCCCACAAUACCACCUCCACCCCAUUUCCACUUUUUCUUUCUGGUUUUAUUGAUACAUCUGAACUUAAAGUAGUCUUUCUCAAGCUGUGUUUAGCUCUUAGCUAAUUACUGCAUUUAGAUAGUUACUGCUUCAGAACCAAAAAAAACAACAACAACAAAAAAAUUAGCUUGUUAAUCCAAAAACGUGUCUAGUUUUCCUUCUGUACUAGUUGUUCUGAAAAAAUGAAUUAUGUAUAUGUACAAACCUUGUCUGUAUACACUGGUCUUUCUCCUAGAACAAUCUUCUAGUUUGUUAGAGAUGGUGUUUUUUGGUUUGAGAAAUGUUUCCUUAAUAUUUCAAAUGCAGACCCCAGUAGGUAGAAUUUAAAUCAACUGAUGAUGCACUUGGGCAUCUUAAAUACCUCUGCUGGACUGUGUGAUGUGUGGCCAGGUCUAAAGAGGACAGGCAGAAAGCCAAGGAGGCUUCCCAAGACCAGUCAGAAAUUCACACUCAUUGUGAAUGAGUGUGUCUAUGAGAAAGCAUGGAUAAUACUUAUUCUGAUCUCAAGAUCCAGUGUUGUCUUUUUAGGAUGAACAGCAAAACAAUACUGCUAUUUAGGGCUGAAUAUAAAUAGGUUUUGUGCUAGAAAGAAGCAAAUAAUUUUAAUUACUGAUGUAGAUCCGAAGAGAAAAAUCUGUAGCUUCAAACUAUAAAUAUAAUAUUUAAGGAAUCAAACUGUUCAGCAGAAGAUGGAAAAAGGUAUUUGUGCAUACAAUUUUUGAACUAUGGUCCUCUGAAAAGAGAGUUCUUGACAGAACUCAAUGAACCUCAGUAAACAAGGACAUCAGCAAUCGACAUUUUUAAGGAUGUGCAAUUUCUAAACAUGAUCCCACUCCUGCAGUCGUUACACAGCACAGAUUUUGCUAUUAAUUAGUUUGAAUGUGGGACAGUUCUGCUGGGAGAAAGAAAGUGGCCUAAAUAGCACGGUCCAAAUUUUAUCUGUAGCUAUCCAAGAAAUACGGAUGUCUUUUAUUAACCCUUGCCACCUCUGACAGCUAGAAAUAAAUGCUGGAGCUGUCUUACUACUAAUGGAUUU
rnacentral:lncRNA from 1 species